AAACGAAUUUGUAUUUAUAGCGUAUUACGCAUUAGGUUAUAAAGCGUUACCAGUCAAAAUAAUCUGAUUUAAAAAAAAUAUAUAUACAUAUUUUUAACGUUAAUCAUAUACCGAAUAUUCGGGUCGUAAAUGAAAAACAUAAUUAUAUUCCGUUUCGAUUGAAAUGAAAAGCGCAAUUCUAGAGAACAUAUUGAAAUACCUAAAUAAUAAUAAUAAAAAAAAAAACGUCACUUUCAUAACA